CAGGCGUUGAACAAUAAACUUCAAUUCCUUUGCACCCACACCGAGAGUCCCCUUAAACCAAGCUCUGAGCAAAUAAAGUUUCGGGCUUGAUUUAAGAGGACUCUUCGUGCGC
ensembl:miRNA tgu-mir-7645 tgu-mir-7645